GCUGAGUUGUGUUUUUUUUAACGGUUGAAAAUAUUGAUUUCAUUUGUUAUAUUGAUGAUUUUCUUUGAUUUUUUGCAGGUUUUAUGACUUCUUAUGAGCAACAAAUAUCUUUGGAUUGUUCCGGUCAUUGAAGGGAUUUCGGAGACAACUUGAAGAAGACUGGGAUCGCUUAAUCAUCUAAGUAGGGUAGGUCCUCACUUUCCGAGGGUGAUGCCACUAUCAAGCCUAUGAUAUUGCUUUAGUGUUCAAUACUUUUAUAUUCUUUCCUUUUUCAUUUGGAUACGAAACAUUGUAUGACCUAUAUGUGGUCUUGUUUUAUUGAUGUAUGCGCUAGGCCUAGUUUGAUAUACUCUUACUAGAUGGUUAUGAGAUGAGAUGACUAUUUGAGACUGUUAUAUUUUAUAUA